rnacentral:lncRNA from 1 species
CAAAGUUCCUUGCUGACAUGUCAUUUUCACUCUUACUGUACAGCAACAACUGUAAACCUUCAAUUUGACUGUCAUCUAAGAACCGUUGAUAUGAAGGCGCUGGACAAUCUUCGGUCAGUUCAAUGCACAUCGAGUAGAAUAGUUUAUCCAAUGAGUUGCUGAAAGUUUAAAAUAUUAGUUAACAAAGUUAAAAAAAUGGAAAGACGUGUGAAUUAUCUACGCUAUUAUUAUGUUACCAGUAAAAUAUGAUGACAUCCGCAAAAAACUUUAGCUGAACAACUGCAAGAGCUAGGCCGGAAAGAUCAUUCGAACCUCGAAUUGAAUAUAGAUCGUCUGCAGCUUCUAGAAGGCCCUUAUGAUAUGCACCGUGCCAUAUAUGAGCAUGGUCCAGUGGAUUAUGUUGAGCGUUAAAUGA